AGAGUUUGAUCCUGGCUCAGGACGAACGCUGGCGGCGCACCUAAGACAUGCAAGUCGGACGAUCCUUCGGGAUAGUGGCGGACGGGUGAGUAACACGUGGGGGAUCUGCCCCUCGGUGGGGGAUACCGGCGGGAAACUGCCGUUAAGACCGCAUACGGCCGGGCCCAUAGGGGGACCUGGGGAAAUGCGCGAGCAGCCGA
rnacentral:rRNA from 1 species